GAUCCUGGCUCAGGAUGAACGCCAGCUACAGGCUUAACACAUGCAAGUCGAGGGGAAACGACAUCGAAAGCUUGCUUUUGAUGGGCGUCGACCGGCGCACGGGUGAGUAACGCGUAUCCAACCUGCCCACCACUUGGGGAUAACCUUGCGAAAGUAAGACUAAUACCCCAUGAUAUCUCUAGAAGACAUCUGAAAGAGAUUAAAGAUUCAUCGGUGAUGGAUGGGGAUGCGU
rnacentral:rRNA from 1 species